rnacentral:rRNA from 1 species
CCUACGGGUGGCAGCAGUGGGGAAUAUUGGGCAAUGGGCGCAAGCCUGACCCAGCAACGCCGCGUGAAGGAAGAAGGCUUUCGGGUUGUAAACUUCUUUUCUCAGGGACGAAGCAAGUGACGGUACCUGAGGAAUAAGCCACGGCUAACUACGUGCCAGCAGCCGCGGUAAUACGUAGGUGGCAAGCGUUAUCCGGAUUUACUGGGGGUAAAGGGCGUGUAGGCGGGAAAGCAAGUCAGAUGUGAAAACCAUGGGCUCAACCUGUGGCCUGCAUUUGAAACUGUUUGUCUUGAGUACUGGAGAGGGAGACGGAAUUCCUAGUGUAGCGGUGAAAUGCGUAGAGAUUAGGAGGAACACCAGUGGCGAAGGCGGUCUGCUGGACAGCAACUGACGCUGAGGCGCGAAAGCGUGGGGAGCAAACAGGAUUAGAUACCCUAGUAGUC